rnacentral:rRNA from 1 species
GAUGAACGCUGGCGGCGUGCCUAAUACAUGCAAGUCGAGCGAACAGACGAGGAGCUUGCUCCUUUGACGUUAGCGGCGGACGGGUGAGUAACACGUGGAUAACCUACCUAUAAGACUGGGAUAACUUCGGGAAACCGGAGCUAAUACCGGAUAACAUGUUGAACCGCAUGGUUCAACAGUGAAAGACGGUCUUGCUGUCACUUAUAGAUGGAUCCGCGCCGCAUUAGCUAGUUGGUAAGGUAACGGCUUACCAAGGCAACGAUGCGUAGCCGACCUGAGAGGGGGAGCGGCCCCACGGGAACUGAGACACGGUCCAGGCUCCUACGAGAGGCAGCAGUAGGGAAUCUUCCGCAAUGGGCGAAAGCCUGACGGAGCAACGCAGCGUGAGGGAAGAAGGUCUUCUGAUCGUAGAACGCUUUUAGGAUGGAAGAACAAAUGUGUAAGUAAGUAUGCACGUCUUGACGGUACCUAGUCAGAAAGCCACGGCUAACUACGUG